UACGGAGGGGGCUAGCGUUGCUCGGAAUUACUGGGCGUAAAGGGCGCGCAGGCGGAACACAUAGUCAGACGUGAAAGCCCCGGGCUUAACCUGGGAAUAGCGUUUGAUACUUGUGAUCUGGAGUCUCGGAGAGGGUGGUGGAAUUCCCAGUGUAGAGGUGAAAUUCGUAGAUAUUGGGAAGAACACCAGUGGCGAAGGCGGCCACCUGGACGAGUACUGACGCUGAGGCGCGAAAGCGUGGGGAGCAAACAGG
rnacentral:misc_RNA from 1 species